rnacentral:tRNA from 1 species
GUGGGGCUGAGGCUCGGUGGCAGAGCACUUGCCUAGCAUGUGUGAGGCGCUGGGUUCGAUCCUCAGCACCACA